rnacentral:misc_RNA from 1 species
GAUGAAGAACGUAGCAAAAUGCGAUACUUGGUGUGAAUUGCAGAAUCCCGUGAACCAUCGAGUUUUUGAACGCAAGUUGCGCCCGAAGCCUUUGGCCGAGGGCACGUCUGCCUGGGCGUCACGCAUCGCGUCGCCCCCCACAAAUUCUCCGUCAGGGGAGCUUGUGUUUCGGGGGCGGAUACUGGUCUCCCGUGCUCAUGGCGCGGUUGGCCGAAAUAGGAGUCCCUUCGAUGGACGCACGAACUAGUGGUGGUCGUAAAAACCCUUGUCUUUUGUUUCGUGCCGUUAGUCGCGAGGGAAGCUCUUCAAAAACCCCAGCGCGUCGUCUCUUGACGGCGCUUCGACCGCGACCCCAGGUCAGGCGGGACUACCCGCUGAGUUUAAGCAUAUCAAUAAGCGGAGGA